rnacentral:rRNA from 3 species
GACGAACGCUGGCGGCGUGCUUAACACAUGCAAGUCGAACGAUGAUGCCCAGCUUGCUGGGCGGAUUAGUGGCGAACGGGUGAGUAAUACGUGAGUAACCUGCCCUUGACUCUGGGAUAAGCCUGGGAAACUGGGUCUAAUACUGGAUACUACCUCUUACCGCAUGGUGGGUGGUGGAAAGGGUUUUACUGGUUUUGGAUGGGCUCACGGCCUAUCAGCUUGUUGGUGGGGUAAUGGCUCACCAAGCCGACGACGGGUAGCCGGCCUGAGAGGGUGACCGGCCACACUGGGACUGAGACACGGCCCAGACUCCUACGGGAGGCAGCAGUGGGGAAUAUUGCACAAUGGGCGGAAGCCUGAUGCAGCGACGCCGCGUGAGGGAUGACGGCCUUCGGGUUGUAAACCUCUUUCAGUAGGGAAGAAGCGAGAGUGACGGUACCUGCAGAAGAAGCGCCGGCUAACUACGUGCCAGCAGCCGCGGUAAUACGUAGGGCGCAAGCGUUGUCCGGAAUUAUUGGGCGUAAAGAGCUCGUAGGCGGUUUGUCGCGUCUGCUGUGAAAGCCCGGGGCUUAACCCCGGGUCUGCAGUGGGUACGGGCAGACUAGAGUGCAGUAGGGGAGACUGGAAUUCCUGGUGUAGCGGUGAAAUGCGCAGAUAUCAGGAGGAACACCGAUGGCGAAGGCAGGUCUCUGGGCUGUUACUGACGCUGAGGAGCGAAAGCAUGGGGAGCGAACAGGAUUAGAUACCCUGGUAGUCCAUGCCGUAAACGUUGGGCACUAGGUGUGGGGGACAUUCCACGUUUUCCGCGCCGUAGCUAACGCAUUAAGUGCCCCGCCUGGGGAGUACGGCCGCAAGGCUAAAACUCAAAGGAAUUGACGGGGGCCCGCACAAGCGGCGGAGCAUGCGGAUUAAUUCGAUGCAACGCGAAGAACCUUACCAAGGCUUGACAUUCACCGGACCGCCCCAGAGAUGGGGUUUCCCUUCGGGGCUGGUGGACAGGUGGUGCAUGGUUGUCGUCAGCUCGUGUCGUGAGAUGUUGGGUUAAGUCCCGCAACGAGCGCAACCCUCGUUCUAUGUUGCCAGCACGUGAUGGUGGGGACUCAUAGGAGACUGCCGGGGUCAACUCGGAGGAAGGUGGGGAUGACGUCAAAUCAUCAUGCCCCUUAUGUCUUGGGCUUCACGCAUGCUACAAUGGCCGGUACAAAGGGUUGCGAUACUGUGAGGUGGAGCUAAUCCCAAAAAGCCGGUCUCAGUUCGGAUUGAGGUCUGCAACUCGACCUCAUGAAGUCGGAGUCGCUAGUAAUCGCAGAUCAGCAACGCUGCGGUGAAUACGUUCCCGGGCCUUGUACACACCGCCCGUCAAGUCACGAAAGUUGGUAACACCCGAAGCCGGUGGCCUAACCCCUUGUGGGAGGGAGCCGUCGAAGGUGGGACUGGCGAUUGGGACU